rnacentral:rRNA from 1 species
UACGUAGGGGGCUAGCGUUGUCCGGAUUUAUUGGGCGUAAAGAGCGUGUAGGCGGCCAGGUAGGUCUGGUGUGAAAACUCGAGGCUUAACCUCGAGAUGUCAUCGGAAACCAUCUGGCUAGAGUCCGGAAGAGGAGAGUGGAAUUCCUGGUGUAGCGGUGAAAUGCGCAGAUAUCAGGAAGAACACCAAUGGCGAAAGCAGCUCUCUGGGACGGUACUGACGCUGAGACGCGAAAGCUAGGGGAGCAAACGGG